UUAGUUUGACCACUACAGUUAUCAAAAACAUUUUAUAAAAAAUAUUCCCCCGUUUUAAAAAUAAUAACCUAUUUUGAUUUGACAUAAAAGUUUAAGAAAAUAAAAAAUAUUUUUAAAUUUUAAUAAUUUUAAAUUAAAAUUAUAUCAAAUAUACUAAAAUAUCAUUCAAUCUCAUGGACAUGAUCUUAAAUAUUAAUUUGAAAAAUUGGAAUGAAAGGGUUACUAAAAUAAAAAGGAUCAUUUUCUUAAAACAUAUUUUAAAAAAUGUAUCAAUGAAACUAUAGUAUAAAAUCCUGCUAACCAAAGAUUGAUGAUUCGAUCCUAGCUAUGAAGAAAAUUCUGUUGGGAGGAAUAGCUAAGUGGGCUGAAUUCACAUUAAUUGGGAAUGAAAAAACAAAAAAAAAUAGUAUAAAAUCCCCUUAACAAUUUUCAUUUUUCUUCAACUUAAGACGAAAAAUAAAAAUUGAGCGAAACAGAGGUAAUGGGGAGUCUUUUAAUGGUGGUUGCCCUCUAUGUUUUCGCCAAUGAUUUCCAUUUUCCCGCCAAAAAUAUAAUCCACAAUUUUAUCUUAAGGGUCUGUUUGGUUAAGAUGUUGCAUUGAAAACGGAGAGUCAUAGGCACACACUAUUAGAGUUCGGGUCGGGUAUUUGGAGCUUAACCCGUAUCUUGGCGGGUCGACCCGGCAAGGUCUGCAGCCAUGGCGGGUUGCUUUGCCUGAUUUUAUCUUAAGGGUCUGGUUAAGCUGUUGCAUGAAAAAUUUCGAUGAAAAUCGAAAAGUUUCUGCAGUAUGUAUACAUACACACACAUAUAUAUACACACUCAAAGCUGAUAUUGUUGUUGCUUUUACGAAUGAUAUAGGCUGUGAUGAUUAAGCAGUCUAGAGUUCGGGUUGGGUCGGGUAUUUGGAGCUUAACCCGUAUCUUGGCGGGGCGACCCGGAAAGACCUGCAGCCAUGGCGGUUUGCUUUGUCUCCUUGUUUGCCUGAUUUUAUCUUAAGGCUCUGUUUGGUUGAAGCUGUUGCAUGAUAAAUUUCGAUGAAAAUCGAAAAAGUUUCUGCAGUAUGUAUACAUACACACACAUUAAGCUGAUAUUGUUGUUGUUGUUGCUGUUACGAAUGAUAGGCUGUGAUGAUUAAGCUGUCUAGAGUUCGGGUCGGGUCGGGUAUUUGGAGCUGACCCGUAUCUUGGCGGGGCGACCCGGUAUGGUAGCUUCCAUUGUCUUGCAACUGAAGGUCUGCAGCCAUGGCGGUUGCUUUGUCUCCUUUUUGCCUGAUUUUAUCUGAAGGGUCUGUUUGGUUAAGCUGUUGCAUUGAAAAUUUCGCUGAAAAUCGAAAAGUUUCUGCAGUAUGCAUACAUACACACAUACCAAGCUGAUAUUGUCGUUGUUGUUGAUGUUGUUGCUAUUAUAAAUGAUACACUGUGAUGAUUAAGCUGUCUAGAGUUCGUGGGGGUAAGGGAGUUGGGUCCGUAUCUUGGUGGGGCGACCUGGAAGGUAAUAUGAGCUGUAGUGCAGCUGAGGUCAGCAGCCAUGGCGGAUGCAUUGUCUCCUUUGUCCUGAUUAUACUGAUCUGAGCCUUAAGUGUCUGUUUGGUUACGCUGUUGCAUUGAAACUUUCGAUGAAAUUAGAAAAAGUUUCUGCAGUUUGUAUACAUACACAAUAAUCUCUCUCUCUCUCUCUCUCUCUCUCUCUCUCUCUCUCUAUCUAUCUAUCUAUCUAUCUAUCUAUCUAUCUAUAUAUAUAAAGAAAUUAAGGGUUUAGGGCUUAAGAUUUGAUCCUUUAGUUGUUGCUUCUUCUCUUUACUCAUCAUCAUCAUAUAUGGCUUGCAUUGAAAUCCUUGAAAUGGGGUUUCGCUGUCGUUGAUGUUGUUGUUGUUGUUGUUGUUGUUGUUGUUGGUGGUGGUGGUGGUGGUGUUACAAUGUGAGGCUGUGAUGAUUGUGGUGUCUAGAGUUCAUGGGGUAACGGAGCUAUGCCCGUAGCUUGGCGGGGCGACCGGGAAGGCCUUAUUUGUAGAGCAACCGAGGUUCUGCAGCAAUGUUUGAUGUAUGAUUAUACUGAUCUGAGCCUUAAAAUCAGAAGUUUCUGAUUAUACUUGAUUGAGCUGUAGUGCAGCUGAGGUCUGCAGCCAUGGUGGAUGCAUUGUCUCCUUUGUCCUCAUUUUGUAUAUUUGAGCUGAAAAUAGGGCAUGCAGUAUGUAUACAGGUACACAUACAUGCAUGAAUCCUUGAAAAAGUUUUUUUUUGACGUGGUUGAUAUAGUUGUUGUUUUGUUUGCUGCUGUUAUGGACGAGGACAAGAGUUAUUUGUCCUGUGCCGGGGUCUAUUGGAAAUAGCCUCUAUACUUCAUCUGAGGUAGUGAUAUGGACUGCGUACACUUUACCCUCCCCAGACCCCACUUUGUGGGAAUACACUGGGUAUCUUCUUGUUGUUGUUUGUUUGUUACGUUUAUGGAUGAGAGGCUGUGAUGAUUUAAGCUGUCUAGAGUUCAUGGGGUAACGGAGCUGGACCCAUAACUUGGCAGGGCGACCCAGAAGGCACUGUUUGUAGAGCAACUGAGGUCUGCAGCCAUGAGGGAUGUGUUGUCUUCUUUGCCCAUAUUAUACUGAUCUGAGCCUUAAGGGUCUGUUUGGUAACACAAGUGUAUUGAAACUUUCGAUGAAAAUCGGAAGUUUUUGCAGUAUGUAUACAUACUUCUUCUUUUUCCUCUUUGUCAUCAUCAUAUAUGGCCGGCAUUGAAAUCCUUGAAAUGCGUUUUUCGCUGUCAUUGAUAUUGUUGUUGUUGUUGUUGGUGGUGGCGGACGUGGUGGUGGAGUUAAUGUGAGGCUGUGAUGAUUAAGCUGUCUAGAGUUCAUGGGGUAACGAAGCUGUGCCCGUGGCUUGGCGGGGCGACCCGGAAGGCCUAUUUUGUAGUGCAACUGUGGUCUGCAGCCAUGGCGGAUGUGCUGUUUUCUUUUGCCUUGAUUAUAAUGUCUGAGCCUUAAAAUCAGAAGUUUAUGCAGUGUUUAUACAUGCAUUCAUCAUCCAUCUGUCUUUAUCUAUAUAUAUAUACAGAGAGAGAGAGAAAUGAAGAGUUUAAGGUUUAAGAUUUGAUCCUUUUGUUGCUACUUCUUCUUUUUCCUCUUCAUUAUCGUCAUAUAUGAAUCCUUCAAAGGGUUUUGGCGGUUGUUGUUGUUAUUAUUGUUACGGGUGAUAGGCUGUGAUGAUUAAGUUGUCUUAGAGUUGAUGAGGCAAAGUGGAGAUGUGCCCGUAGCUUGGCGGGGCGACUCAAAAGGUACUGUGAGCUGAUUGAGCUGUAGUGCAGCUGAGGUCUGCAGCCAUGGCGGAUGUGUUGUUUCCCUUGCCCUGAUUAUACUGAUCUGAGCCUUAAAAAUGCCCCAAAAAAGGGUAUACAUAUACACAUACAUAUCUCUAUACAUAUAUACAGGAAAAUCUUAUGACUGGUGAUAUAUUCUGAGAAGGGUUUUGCCGUUGUUGAUGUUGUUGUUGUUGCUCUUAGGAGUCGUUUGGCAUGAGGUAUGAGGCAUAAGGUAUAAGGCAUGAUAGUCCUGGGAUAAAAUGCAUGAUUUAGUCCUGGGAUUAUUUAAUCCACCAUUUAUGCAUAGUGAUGGAAUAAGUUAUCCCAUAUACAUGGUGUGAUAACUAAUCUCCAAUAACUUGUUCCCAACCAAACGACCCCUUAAGGAUUAGAGGCUGUGAUAUUUAAGGUCUCUAGGGUUCAUGGGGCAAGGGAGCUGGAUCCGUAUCUCGGCGGGGCAACCUGGAAAGCCUAUUUGAAGUGCAGCCAUGGCGGAUGCAUUGCCUCCUUUGCUCUGAUUAUUCUGUUCUGAGCCUUAAAAUCAGUAGUUUCUGCAGUGUGUAUACAUAUACAUCUCUCUCUCUUUCUCUCUCUCUCUAUAUAUAUAUAUUUAUAUAUAUAUAAUCUAUGAAUUUUUGAAAAUGAGGCAAACAGAGAGGUAUUGGGGUGUCUUCUAAUGGUGGUUGCCCUCUCUCUGUUUAACCGUUGAUUUCCAUUUUCGGGUGAAAAAAUAAAGUGAAAAAUAAACCACCAUUUUAUCUUAAGGGUCGUUUGGUUAAGCUGUUGCAUUGAAUCGGAAGUUUUUGCAGUAUGUAUACAUACACACACAAUAAAAGAAUGAAGGGGUAAGGUUUUAAGAUUUGACCAUUUUGUUGUUGCUUCUUCUUCUUCUCCUUUUUCUGGCAUUGAAAUUCAUGACAUGGGUUUUUGUUGUUGUUGUUGUUGUUGAUGAUGAUGAUGAUAUUGUUGUUGCUUUUACGGAUGAUAGGCUGUGAUGAUAUAUGGAGUUCAUGGGGUAAGGGAGCUGUGCCCGUAUCUCGGCGGGGCAACCUGGAAGGUACUAUGUUUGUAGUGCAACUGAGGUUUGCAGCCAUGGCGGUUGCAUUGUCUCCUUUGCCCUCAUUUUGUAAAUCUGAGCCUUAAAAUCGGAACUUUCUGCAGUAUGUAUAUAGAAACUUCUUCAUCAUCAUCAUCCAUGGUCAGCGUUGAAAUCCUUGAAAUGGGUUUUCACUGUUGUUGUUGAUAUUGUUGUUGCUGUUACGGAUUAGAGGCUGUGAUGAUUUAAGCUGUCUAGAGUUCACAAGGGAAAGGGAGCUGGGUCCGUAUCUUGGCGGGGCGACCUGUAAGGUACUAUGAGCUGAUUGAGCUGUAGUGCAGCUGAUGUCUGCAGCCAUGGCGGAUGCAUUGUCUCCUUAUCUGAGCCUUAAAGAAUGCCCAAAAAAGGGUAGACAUACACACAUAUAUCUCUCUAGACAUAUACUGAUAAGGGUUUUGCCGUUGUUGUUGCUUUUAUGGAUGAGAGGCUGUGAUGAUUAUGGUGUCUCGAGUUCAUAGGGUAAGGGAGCUGGACCCGCAUCUUGGCGGGGCAACCUGGAAGACCCUAUUUGUAGUGCAGCCAUGGUGGAUGCAUUGUCUCCUUUGCUUUGAUUAUACUGAUCUGAGCCUUAAAAUUGGAACUUUCUGCAACAUGCAUACCGAAACUUCUUCAUCAUCAUCAUCAUCCAUGAUCAGCAUUGAAAUCCUUGAAAUGGGUUUUCGCUGUUGCUGUUGUUGUUGCUGUUAUAAAUUAGAGGCUGUGAUGAUUUAAGCUGUCUAGAGUUCAUAGGGGCAAGGGAGCUGGGUCCGUAUCUUGGUGGGGCGAUCCGGAAGGUACUGUGAGCUGAUUGAGCUGUAGUGCAGCUGAGGUCAGCCGCCAUGGCGGAUGCAUUGUCUCCUUUGCCCUGAUUAUACUGAUCUGAGCCUUAAGGGUCUUUUUGGUUAAGCUGUUGCAUUGAAACUUUCGAUGAAAAUUGAAUAAGUUUCUGCAGUUUGUAUAAAUACACACACAAUAAUCUGUAUGUGUGUGUGUGUGUGUAUAUAUAUAUAUACAAAAGGGGAGCCUUGGAGUAACUGGUAAAGUUGUUGCCAUGUGACCAGGAGGUCACGGGUUCAAGCCUUGGAAACAGCCUCUGGCAGAAAUGCAAGGUAAGGUUGCGUACAAUACACCCUUAUGGUGGCCCUUCCCCGGACACCGCGCUUAGCGGUAGGUAGCUUUAGUGCACCGGGUUGCCCUUUUAUACACACACACACACAUAAAGAAAUGAAGGGUUUAGGGUUUAAGAUUUGACCCUGUUGUUACUUCUUCUCUUUACUCAUCAUCAUCAUAUAUGACUUGCGUUGAAAUCCUUGAAAUGGGGUUUCCUCUGUCGUUGAUAUUGCUGCUGCUGCUGCUGCUGCUGCUGUUGGUGGUGUUACAAUGUGAGGCUGUGAUGAUUGAGGUGUCUAGAAUUCAGGGAGUAACGGAGCUAUGCCCGUAGCUUGGCGGGGCGGCCGGAAGGCCUUAUUUGUAGAGCAACUGAGGUUCUGCAGACAUGUUUGAUGCAUUAUCUCCUUUGCCUGAUUAUAUUUAUAUAUAUAUAUAUAUAUAUAUAUUACUGCUUCUUCACCUCUUCCUUUUUAUCUUUGAGGCUGUGAUGAUGACUAAUGAAGUCCGUCUAGAGUUGGGUCGGGUAUUUGGAGCUUACUCCGUAUUCUUGUCAGGGCGACCCAGUAAGGUCUGCAGCCAUGGCGGAUGUGUUUCUUCCUUUUUGCUCUGCUUAUAAUAUCUGAGCCUUAAAUAGGAAGUUUCUGCAGUAUGUGUACAUACUCACAUUCAUCUUCCAUCAAUCUUUUUUAUAUAUACACAUAAAUGAAAGGUUUAAGAUUAAACCCUUUUGCUGUUACUUUUUCUUCCUCCUCCUCAUCUAUGGUCGAUGUUGAAAUCCUUGUAGAAGGGUUUUUGCCGUGGUUGAUAUUGUGGUUGUUGAUGUUGAUGUUGUUGCUGUUACGAAUGAUAGCUUGGAUGAUUAAGCUGUCUAGAGUUCAUGGGGUAAGGAAGCUGGGUCCGUAUCUUGGCGGGGCGACCCGGAAUGAUGCAGCCAUGGAAGAUGCAUCGUAUCCUUUGCUCUGAUUAUAUAAAUCUGAACCUUAAAAUUGGAAGUUUCUGCAGUAUGUAUACAGAUCUAUAUGUUUGUGUGUGUGUAUAUAUAUAUAUAUUAAUUAACAUGCAUACUGGAUUGAAGGGUUUAGGGCCUAAGGUUUGACCUUUCCGCUGUUCCUCCUCCUCCUCCUCAUAUAUGCUCGGCGUUGAAUUCUCGUUGAUGUUGUUGAUAUUGUUGUUGUUGCUGUUACGGAUGAGAGGCUGUGAUGAUUUAAGGUAUCUAGAAUUCAUGGGGUAAGGGAGCUGCUUCCGUAUCUUCGUGGGCGACCUGGAAGGUACUAUUUGUAAUACAAGAGGUCCGCAGCCAUGGCGGAUGCAUUGUUUCCUUUGUCCUGAUUAUACCGAUUUACCCCUUUACUGUUUCUUCAUUGUCGUCGUCAUCCUUGAAAAGGGUUUUUGCUGGCAUGGAAGUUGUUGUUAUUGUUAUUAUUGGUGUUGUUUGUUGUUGUUGGUAUUACGGACGAGAGGCUGUGAUGAUUGACGUGUCUUAAAGCUCACGGGGUAAGGGAGCUGGGUCCGUAUCUUGGUGGGGGCGACCCGGAAGGUGCGAUUAGUAGUGCAACCGAGAUCUGUAGCCAGGCCGUUUGCAUUGUCUCAUUUGCUCUGAUUAUCUAAAUCUGAGCCUUGUAAUCAGAAGUUUCUGCAGUAUGAUACAUAUACACAUACAUAUCUAUAUAUAUUAUACAUUGUUUUCUUCUUCUUUUAUGUGGAUUUGUUGCACCUGAGCCGAGUGUUUUAGAAACAGCCUCUCUCCCUCCACGAGGUAGUGGUGAGGUCUGCGUACUCCCUUCCCUUCCCAUACACCACUUGUGGGAUUUCAUUGGGUAUGUUGCUGUCGUCGUUAUGGAUGAGAGGCUGUGAUGAUUAAUAGCCUGUUUGGCCAAGCUUAUUUUUCUUCAAAAGUGCUUAUUUUUUCUAAAAAGUGCUCUUAUUUUUUAAAAAAAUGAGGUGUUUGGCCAAGCUUUUGAAAGAAAAUAAGUGCUUUUGGGGAGUUUGAAAAAAACAGUUUUUUCAUAAGCUAAAAAAGUAGCUUUUCCCUAAAAGCACUUUUGAGAAAACUUAAAAAGUACUUUUAAAAAGUUUGGCCAACCACUAAUUGUUGCUCAAAAAUUGCUUUUUAAAUUUAUUAGCCAAAUACAAAUUGCUUGUCACCAAAACUGCUUUUUUAGAACAACACUUUUGAAAAUUGAAAUAAGCACUUCUAAAAAUAAGCUGAUUUUAUAAGUUUGACCAAACAGGCUAUAAGGUGUCUAGAGUUCAUGGGGCAAAGGGGAGCUGGCUCUGUAUCUUGGUGGGGGGACCGGGAAGGUACUGUUUGUAGAGCAGCUGAGGUCUGCAGCCUUGGCAGAUGAGGUCUGAGCUGGUCUUUAGUGCAGCUGAGGUCUGCAGCUGAGGCCAAACCCUAAACCUUUUGCUGUUUCUUCAUUGUCAUCAUCAUCCUUCGAAAGAGUUUUGCUGGCAUUGAAAUUGUUGUUGUUGUUAUUAUUAUUGGUGGUGUUGAUGUGUUUGGUGUUAUGGAUGAGAGGCUGUGAUGAUUAAGCUGUCUAGAGUUCAUGGGGCAAGGGAGCUGGGUUCGUAUCUUGGCGGGGCGACCUGGAAGGUACUGUUUGUAGUGCAACCGAGGUAUGCAGCCAUGGCGGAUGCAUUGUCUCCUUUGCUCUGAUUAUACUGAUCUGAGCCUUAUAAUCGGGAAGUUAACUGCAGUAUGUAUACACAUACACUUACACAUACAUCUCUCUCUCUCUCUCUCUCUCUCUAUAUAUAUAUAUAUAUAUAUAUAUGAAUCCUUGAAAUGAGGCAAACAGAGAGAUAUUGGGGAGUCUUUUAAUGGUGGUUGUCCUCUCUCUGUUUCGCCGUUGAUUUCCAUUUUCCAGCUAAAAAAAGGGUGAAACAAUAAACCACCAUUUUUCUUAAGGGUCGUUUGGUAAAGCUGUUGCAUUGAAACUUUUGAUGAAAAUUGAAACGAUUUUGCAGUAUGUAUACAGACACAUACAUACAUACAUAUAUAUAACAUACAUAAAGGAAUGAAGGGCAUAAGAUUUUGACCCUUUUGUUGCUACUUCUUCUUCUUCUUCUUUUUCCGCGUCGAAAUCCGUGAUAUGGGUUUUUGCUGUUGUUGAUGAUGAUGUUGAUGAUGAUAUUGUUGUUGAUUUUAUGGAUGAUAGGCUGCGAUGAUUGAGGUGUCUAGAAUUCAUGGGGUAAAGGAGCUGGGUCUGUAUCUUGGCGGGGCGACCCAGAAGACACUAUAUUUGUAGUGCAAUUGAGGUCUGCAGCCAUGGCGGAUGCAUUGUUUACUUUGCCCUGAUUAUACGGAUCUGAUCCUUAUAAUCGGAAGUUACUGCAGUAUGUAUACAGAUACACAUACCAUCUCUCUCUCUCUAUGUGUGUGUGUGUAUAUAUAUAUUGGUAAGAAAGGUUUAGGGUUAAAGAUUUGACCCUUUUGCUGCUGCUGCUUUUUCCUCCUCCUCCUCAUCAUCAUAUAUGAAUCCUUGAAAAGGGUUUUGGCUGCUGUUAUUGUUGCUGUUAUGGAUGAGAGGCUGUGAUGGUUAAGGUGUCUAGAGUUCAUGGGGCAAAGGAGCAAGGCCCAUAGCGUGGCGGGGCGACCCGGAAGGUACUAUAUUUUUUGUGCAACUGAGGUCUGCUGCCACAAUGGAUGCGAUGUCUCCUUUGCUGUGGUUAUAAUAAUGAUCUGAGCCUUAUAAGGAAGUUUCUGCAGUAUUUAUACAUAUAUACCUACAUCUCUCUCUCUCUCUCUCUAUAUAUAUAUAUAUAUAUUAUGGGAAGAAGGGUUUUGGGUUUAACAUUUGACCCUUUUCUUGCUGCUUCUUCGUUAUCAUAGUUGUCAUCAUCUUCAUCGUCUCUGGCCAGCAAUGAAUCCUGAAAAGGGUUUUUGUUGUGGUUGAAAUUGUUGUUGUUAUGAAUGAUAGGCUAGGAAGCUGGGUCCGUGUAUAUAUAUGUAUAUAUAUAUGGGAAGAAAGGUUUUGGGUUUAACAUUUGGCCCUUUCUUGCUGCUUCUUUGUUAUCAUCGUUGUUGUCAUCUUCAUCGUCUCUGGCCGGCAAUGAAUCCUGAAAAGGGUUUUUGUUGUGGUUGAAGUUGUUGUUGUUAUGAAUGAUAGGCUAGGAAGCUGGGUCCGUAUCUUGGCAAGGCGACCCGGAAGGUACUAUAUAUGUUGUACAAGUGAGGUCUGCAGCCAUGGCGGAUGUAUUGUCUCCUUUGCGUUGAUUAUACUGAUCUAAGACUUGAAAAAUUACCGCAAAAAAGGGUGUAUGCACAUACAUCUGUAUAUAUACACAUAAAGGAAUGGCCCUUUUGAUUCUUCUUUGUCGUUAUCGUCGUCGUCAUCAUCUUCAUCUUCACAAUUUAUGUCCAUUGAUGAAUCCUGAGAUGGGGUUUUUGCUGUGGUUGAAAUUGUUGUCAUUAUUGUUGUUGUUAUUACUUUUUGGAACAGCCUCUCUACGUUCACGAGGUAGUGGUAAGUUACCUUACUUGUGUGAUUUUAAUGGGUAUGUUGUUGUUGUAUUAUUGUUUGUUGUUUGUAUGGAUAAGAGGCUGUGAUGAUUAAGGUGUCUAGAGUUCAUGGGGCAAGGGAGCAAGGCCCGUAUCUUGGUGGUGCGACCCGAAAGGUACUGUUUGUUGUGCAACUGAAGUCUGCAGCCAUGGCGGAUGCAUUGUUUUCUUUGCUCUCAUUAUGUAAAUCUGAACCUGAAAAUCGGAAGUUUCUGCAGUAUGUAUACAGAUACAUCUCUCUCUCUAUAUGUGUGUGUGUGUGUGUAUAUAUAUACACAUACAGGAAUAAAGGGCCCAGGGUUUAAGAUUUGACCCUCUUGUUGUCACUUCUUCUUUUUCCUCUUCAUCAUCAUCAUCUAUGAAUCCUUGAAAAGGAAUUUUGCCGUGGUCGAUAUUAUUAUUAUUAUUACUAUUAUUGUUGAUGUUACGAAGGAUAGGCUGUGAUGAUUUAAGGUGUCUAGAGUUCAUGGGGCAAGGGAGCUGUGCCCUUAGCUUGGCGGGGCGACCCGGAAGGUACUGUUUGUAGUGCAACCGAUGUUUGCAGCCAUAGCAGAUGCAUUGUUUACUUUGCCCUGAUUAUCCGGAUCUGAGCCUUAAAAAGUAUCCCCAAAAGGGUAUACGUAUACACAUACAUCUCUCUAUACCUCUCUCUACGUAUAUACAUUUCUCUUUGUCUUCUUUUACGGGUGACCUGUAAGGUGUAUGUUUAUGUUAUUUUUUCUAAAAAAUACUCAAAGAAAGGGUAUACAUAUAUCUCUUUACAUAUAUACAGAGAUCUUAUGGCUUGUGAUGAUAUCUGAGAAGGGCUGUUGUUGUUGCUCUUAUGGAUGAGAGGCUGUGAUGAUUAAGGUGUCUAGAAUUCAUGGGGUAAGGGAGCUGGACCCGUAUCUUGGCGGGGAAACCUGGAAGGCCUAUUUGUAGUGUAACUGAGGUCUGCAGCCAUGGUGGAUGAGUUGUCUCUUUUGCCCUGAUUAUACUAAUCUGAGCCUUAUAGUGGAAAGAUUUUGGAGGAAGAAAGGUUCAGGAUUUAAGCUCUGACCCUUUUUGUUUCUUCUUCAUCAUUGUCAUCAUCUUCAUCUCUUCCUCAAAUUUAUGUCAGACUAUGAAUCUUGAAAUGGGGUUUUGCCGUGGUUGAAAUUGUUGUUGUUGUUGCUGCACUUGAGCCAAGGGUCUUUCUGAAGCAGCCUCUCUCCACGAGGUAGUGGUGAGAGGCUGCGAUGAUUAAGCUGUCUAGAGUUCAUAGAGUAAGGAAGAUGGGUCAGUAUCUUGGCGGGACGACCCGGAAGGUACUAUUGGUAGUGCAAUCAAGUCUGCAGCCAUGACGGAUGUGUUGUAUCCUUUGCUGCUCUGACUGUACUGAUCUGAGCCUUAAAAAAAUACCCUUAGGCCUCAUUUGUUUGCACUUAAUGGAGAUCUGAAUCUGAAUGGUUCAGAUUUUAGUCUAUUAAGUGCAUUUGUUUUUUUUUUAUAAACUGCCUCUUAAUGUAUCUGAAAGCCUCUGAAUCAGUCAGAUAUGAAAGAGCCUGAAAGAUGUUCAGACACUUUUUAAAACAUAAUUUAUUCCCUCAAAACUCUCUUUAAAUAUUUUAAUUAUCACUCAAAUAAUAUUCAGACUCUUUUUAAAACGUAAUUUAUUCUCUCAAAACUCUCUUUAAAUAUUUUAAUUAUCUUUAAAUAUUUUAAUUAUUACUCAAAUAAUAAUUUUGAUGUUUAAGUUUUAUCUAAUAUUUUUUUCAUAUAAUAUACUAUUUUAUUAUGUUUAAAAUUUGAAUUACAUAUUUAUUACGAAUAAAUAUAUUACAUACAUUCGGAGGUUAAAAAACAAACAGUCUUAAUCAUUCAGUAUUCAGAUCUAGAAACAUCUUAAUCAUUCAAAUAUUCAUUCAGAUUUAGACGUCUUAAUCUUAAAAAAAACAAAUGCACCCUUAAAGGGUAUGCAUAUACACAUGCAUCUCUCUACUUAUAUACAGGAAGAUCUUAUGGCUGGUGAUGAACUCUGGGAAGGGUUUUGCCGUUGUUGAUGUUGUUGCGCUCAAGUAUGAAAGGCUGUGAUGAUUAAGGUGUCUAGAGUUCAUGGGGCAAAGGGGAGCUGGGUCCGUAUCUUGGCGGGGCGCCCCGGAAAGUACUGUUCGUUGUGCAACUGAGGUCUGCAGCCAUGGCGGAUGUGUUGUCUUCUUUGCUCUGAUAUUCUAAUCUGAGCCUUAAAAUUGAACUCUAGUUGUGGGAAUUCACCGGGUAUGUUGUUGUUGAGCCUUAAAAUUGGAAGUUUCUGCAGUAUGUAUAUACACAUACAUAAUCUCUCCCUCUGUAUAUGUAUAUGUACAUGGGAAGAAGGGUUUAAGAUUUGACUCUUUUGCUACUUCUGUUUCUUCUUCUUUUUCUGCUUUUUCCUUAUCAUCAUCUAUUGCCGGUGUUGAAAUCCUCGAAAAGGGAUUUUGCUGUGAUUGAUAUUGUUGUUGCUGCUGCUGUUAUAUAUGAGAGGCUGUGAUGAUUUAGGUGCCUAGAGUUCAUGGGGCAAAGGGGAGCUGGUUCCGUAUCUUGGAGGAGUGACCCAGAAGGCCUAUUUCUAGUGCAUCUGAGGUCUGCAACCAUGGUGGAUGAGUCGUCUCUUUACCCUGAUUAUUCUGAUCUAAGCCUUAUAGCGAAAAGGUUUUGGAGGAAGAAGGGUUUAGGGUUUAAGCUCUGACCCUUUUUGUUUCUUCUUCAUCGUCGUUGUUGGGUUCGAAAUCCAGAGGGCGUCAUGCGGAAGCUUAAAGUUGCAUAUACUAAGAGAUGAUAAAUCAGAUGACAAAGAAAAACUAAACUAAAAACAUACUAUUAUUGAUAUGGUUUCGCCAGCCUACAUAUUAAAAUCUAAUUCAAAAAACAUAAAGACUAUUUGAGAGAAAAUCUCCCCCUAAACAAGACUCUUAAAUGACUACAUUGUGGAUGAUAUAUUGUUGGCUUGAGAAGAGAGAUCUUCUAUUUAUAGAACUACAAACCGUCCCUCUAAAAAAAGAGUAAACCUAAUAGAAAAGAGAUCCUUCCAAACAAGGAAGCCUUUUUCCACCAAGAAAAGUAAUUCUAAUUAUGGUAGAAAAUCAGGUAAAGUAGAAAUUCAAGGCAAAUCCUAACAGUGGUCAUCUUCAUCUUCUCCACAAUUUUAUGUCAGGCAUUGAAUCCUGGAAUGGGGUUUUGCCGUGGUUUAAUUUUUUUUUAAUUAAUAUUGUUGUUGUUGCUUCACUUGAGCCUAGGGUCUUUUGGAAACCUCUCUACCUCCAUGAGGUAGUGGUAAGUUCUGCAUACACUCUACCCUCCCCAGACCUCAAGUCUUGUGGGAUUUUACUGGCUAUGGUGUUGUAAUAUUGUUGUUGUUUUUAUGGAUAAGAGGCUGUGAUGAUUAAGGUGUCUAGAAGUCAUUGGGCAAUCGGAGCUGGGUUGUAUCUUGGCGGGGCGACCUGGAAGGUACUAUUGGUAGUGCAACUUAAGUCUGCAGCCAUGGUGUAUGUGUUGUCUUCUUUGCCUUGAUUAUACUGAUCUGAGCCUUAAAAUCAGAAGUUUCUGCAGUAUGUAUACAUAUCUCUUGCUCUCUCUCUCUGUAUAUAUAUGCAUGUGGGAAGAAGGGUUCAGGGGUUUAAGAUUUGACCCUUUUUGUUGCUACUUCUUUCUUUUUCUUCUUCAUGAUCAUCAUCAUCUAUGGCCGGUAUUGAAUCCUUGAAAUGGGUUUAUGGCCUUUGUUGAUAUUAUUAUUACUAUUAUUGUUGUUGCUGCUGCUGUUGCUCUUACUGUUGCUAUUACAGAUGAUAGGCUAUGAUGAUUAAGGUGUCUAAGUAGGGGAGCUGGGCCCGUAGCUUGGCGGGGCGACUCGGAAGGUACUAUUUGUAGUGCAACCGAUGUAUGCAGCCAUGGCGGAUGUGUUGUCUCCUUUGCCCUGAUUAUACUGAUCUGAGCAUUAUAAAAUACCACAAAAAGGUUAUACAUAUAUACGCAUACACCUUUCUAUAUAUAUACAAUACAGGAAGAGGGGUUUAGGAUUUACGAUCUUACCCUUUUGCUGCUUCAUCAUCAUCGUUGUCUUCAUUUGCAUCUCCCCCACCCCCACCCCCACCCCACCACAAUAUAUGGCCAGAAAUGAAUCCUGAAAAGGGGUUUUGCCAUGGUUGAUAUUGUUUUUAAUUGUUAUUAUUAUUAUUAUUAUUAUUAUUAUUAUUAUUAUUGUUGCUGCUCAUGUUAUGGCUGAGAGGCUGGGAUGAUUGAGGUGUCUCUACAGUUCAUGGGUUAAGGGAUCUGGGUCGGUAUCUUGGCGGGACGACCCGGAAGGCACUGUUCAUAGUGCAACCGAGGUCUGUAGCCAUGGCAGAUGCAUUCUUCCCUUUGCCCUGUUUAUAGUAAUCUGAGCCUUAAUGAAGCCCUGAUUGUUUAUAAGAACAUCACUUUCCUUUUCUGGCAACUCCUUAAAUCGACCUUUUCACAUGACAUGUUUAUGUUUGACCACAAGAUUAAAUCACAUUUUGUUAGAUUCUACAUAUUUUGUUUAUGACCAAGAUUUAUCUUUUUAAAGUCCGUGGCAAGUAAAAACUAGACAAACAAAUUUUAACAGACUUCAUGUGGAUAGUGAGGCAAGAACAAGAGAUGCCUCAUGACGCCGCCGUCACUCUCUCGGCUUCGACUUCGGAUUUGGAUUUGGAUCGAGAGAUUAAUUUUUUGGACAAAAUUUAUUCGAAAGUUAAAAAUAAGUGAAAUUUUAAUCCACAAAUCCAAUAGAAAUAUUUUUCUCCAUUUCCAGACGCACUUUGGACGCAGUGCGAACGCAGUCGCAACACACCCCAAUGGGAUGCAACCCUUCGAGGUACAAGACGUACUGGUUGGGGUAGAAACGCGACCUGCGCGUGCACCUAGCGACCUGCGGGCGCAAGUCAAGCAUAGACCUCACUGGAAAGUGUCAAACGUCAUCUGCGGCUGCAGGUCUAGCGCAGACCGGAUGCAGGUGACAUGACUGUUCCAAAAUGUUCUCUCUUUUCAUGAACCAUUGCUUCUUUUUCGAAGGGACACUUUAUGGCUAUAAAUACCUGAACCUUUUCUAGGUGAAGGCAUGAUUUUGAGUUGAAAAACAUCUAUUUGUUCUUCUAAAGAACUCUCGUGUGAUCAUCAAAUCGUUGAGUGAGUUCGAAGUUCGAAAAAAUUUAAGGCACCACUGUUUUCUGAAAGUGAAUCAUCGGAUACUUGAUUGUAAGCAUCAUUGCUGGUGCUUGUAUGUAGGCUGUGAUGAUAUUGCUUAUUGAGUUAAUUGGGUUUUGGUCAAGGGAAGCCACGUCUUGGAAGGGCAAACUAAAAAGUGUUGCCAGUGGAGUAACCAGUAUUGGAUUGUAGUAUGUUAUUAUUCUGGUUUGCAGCCAUGGCAGUGUCCGUUUCCUUUACCUGAUCUUCUGAUUUAUCUGAGCAUACUUAUGUACUCUACGAAGAAUAGUCUAUCAGAGUGAAAAUAAGUAAAACAAAUUAGAAUAUGGCAGCAUUGUGAUGGACAGUUUCUAAAAUUGGUUAGCCCCCCAUCUGAAUGCCAAUGAUUCUCAAUGAUCUGCUACUAUCAUUGCAACCAUUCUUUAAAUGCUUUACUAUUUUGUCAUAAUGCUUUCCCUUUCAAAAUCACAAUUAUAAGAGCAGUAUUAUUGAUGCCUAUGUGUAGGAUGUGAUGAUAAAGUUCUUGAGUUUAUGUGUUUCGGUCAAUCCAUCGGGACCUGUAUCUUGGUGGUGCAUGUGGAACCAUUUACCAAGGAUGUAUUAUAAGCAAUAGAUUAUAGGUAUUAGACUGGAACAGAUUUAAAUGGAGUGAUAUCUAUAUUAAUGAUUUAUACGGUUGAUCCUAAUUCCUAAUACUUGUAUGCUAUCAUGGUUUGCAGCCAUGGUGGUGUUCUACUCACCUCUCUCUUUAUGUAUAUAUUGUUGUGUUUGGGUUGUCAUGAUAAGUUUCUUGAUCUAUGGAUAGAAUAAGUUAUUCUUGCCUUAGCAAUGUAAAUUUGACCUUUGGGAAAGAUAUAUUCUUGAAGUUGUUCCUCUCUGGCUAAUGUUUACUGAUUCAGGUGUUUUUCACCAGUGCAACUUUAGCUCAACUGGCGCUCUUAUCGAAGAGAAGUUCACGGUUCUUGACAGUGUUCAACAAUUUGAAAUUCUUGAAGUUAAGCAAUGAAUUAAAAUGCUGAUAGAAAGUAACUCAUCUUCCCCGCGUGAUUGCUUUAAGGUAGUGACCUGCAUUUUAGUCCAUGGCUUGCCUUCAAGAACGUCAAUUGUGGAUAUGCUUGUUUAUGGUAAACUUAUACUGUCGAAGAGAAGUGGCCAAGCUUAAAAAGUAUUCUUACACUGUGAAGCUCAAGUUUGCGAGCAAUUCGAUAAACAACUAGAGUGAUGUGAACCUUUUCUUAAGCUCUUUAGAAUGGAAUGUCAAAUCAAGCUUCUACUUUGCUGUAUAUUGUAGAAAGCAAGCUUAAAAAGUAUUCUUACACUGUGAAGCACAAGUUUGCAAACAAUUCGACAAUUUAUGGCCGGCGUUGAAUCCUGAAAUGGGGUUUUUGCCGUGGUUGAUAUUGUUGUUGUUGUUGUUGAUGAUGCUAUGGCUGAGAGGCGGUGAUGAUUAAGCUGUCUAGAAUUCAUGGGGUAAGGGAGCUGUGUCCGUGUCUUGGCGAUGCAACCCGGUAGAUCUAUUUUAUAGAGCAACCGAGGUCUGUAGCCAUGGCAGAUGUGUUGUCUCCUUUGCUCUCAUUAUGUAAACCUGAACCUUAAAAAUCGGAAGUUUCUGCAGUAUGUAUGCAUACACUUAUCUACCUAUCUCUCUCUCUCUCUCUCUCUCUCUAUAUAUAUAUAUAUAUAUGGGAAGAAGGAUAUAGGAUUUAAGAUUUGAUCCUUUUGCUAGUUCUUUUUCCUCUUAAUCAUCAUCAUCUAUGGCCGGUGGUAAAUCCUUGAAAAGGGUUUUUGCCAUGGUUGAUAUUAUUAUUGUUGUUGUUGUUACUACUACUACUUGUGUCUAGAGUUCAUUGGGCAAGGGAGCUGGGUCCGUAUCUUGGCGGGGCGACCCGGAAGGUACUAUUGGUAAUGCGACCGAUGUCUGCAGCCAUGGCGGAUGCAUUGUCUCCUUUGCUCUGAUUGUGCUGAUCUGAGCCUUAAAAUCAGAAGUUUCUGCAGUAUAUAUACGUAUUCUCAUUCAUCAUGCAUCUCUCUUUAUAUAUAAUAGAGGAAGAGGGGUUUAGGGUUUAAGAUCAUACCCUUUUACUUCUUCUUCAGAGUUAUGAUCGUUGUCAUCUUCAUCUCCUCCACCCCCACCACAUAUAUGGCCGAAAUGAAUCCUGAAAAGGGUAUUUGCCAUGGUUGAUAUUGUUGUUGUUGUUAUUAUUGUUGUUGUUAUGGAUGAGAGGCUGUGAUGAUUAAGGUGUCUAGAGUUCAUGGGGCAAGGGAACAAGGUGGCGGAUGCAUUGUUUUCUUUGCCCGCAUUAUGUAAAUCUGAGCCUGAAAAUCAAAAAGUUUCUGCAGUAUGAUAGAGAUACAUCUCUCUCUCUCUCUCUCACUUUGUGUGUGUGUGUGUGUGUGUGUGUGCGCACGCGCGUAUACAUACAGGAAUGAAGGGUUCAGGGUUUCUUCAUCAUCUACGAAUCCUUGAAAAGGAAUUUUGCCGUGGUUGAUAUAAUUGUUAUUACUAAUUUUAUUGUUGAUGUUGCGAAUGAUAGGCUGUGAUGAUUUAAGGUCUCUAGAGUUCAUGGGUCAAGGGAGCUGUGCCCGUAGCUUGGCGGGGCGACCAGGAAGGUAUUGUUUGUAGUGCAACCAGUGUCUGCAGCCAUGGCGGAUGCAUUGUUUACUUUGCCCUAGUUAUACUGAUCUGAGCCUUAAAAAGUACCCCAAAAAGGGUAUACAUAUACACAUGCAUCUCUCCAUACAUCUCUCUAUGUAUAUACAUUUCUCUUCAUCAUCAUAUAUGGCAGACAUUGAGAUCCCUGAAGAGGGUCUUUGCUGUGGUUGAUAUUGUUGUUGUUGUUCAUUGUCAAAAAAAAAUAAUUGUUGUUGUUGACAGUGGCGGAGCCAGGAUUUUCAUCGAGGGGGUUUAGAAGUAUAUAUACGAACUAGUAGAAGGGGGUUCAACAUCUACUAUAUAUGCAUAAAAAAUAUUUUAACCAUGUAAAAAUAGUAUAAUUUUCCGUCGAAGGGGUGGCUCCCCCACUGGUUGUUGACUAUGAUAUGGAUGAGAGACAUUGAUGAUUAAGUAGGUGUUUGGCCAUGAAAACCAAAAAAAUUUCACUCUAUUUGGAAUUUUUGGAGUUGUGUUUUGCUAUACAGGAAUGAAGGGUUUAGAGUUUAAAAUCAUUUGACCCUUUUGUUGCUACUACUUUUUUCGGCGUUGGAAUCCUUGAAAAGGGGCUUUUACCGUAGUUGAUAUUGUUGUUGUUGUUGAUGAUGAUAUGGAUGAGAGGCUGUGAUGAUUUAACGUGUCUAGAGUUCAUGGGCAUGGGAGCUGGGUCUGUAUCUUGGCGGGGCGACCCGGAAGUGCAACCUAGGUCUGCAGCCAUGGCAGAUCAUUGUCUCCUUUGCCCUGAUUAUAUUGAUCUGAGCCUUAAAAAACAUGGCAAACAACAUAAAUCCCGAUAGUUUGGAGCUUAAUUAUAGAAAAUCCCGACAUUUUGCAUAAUUACUGAAAAUCCCGAUUUUGGGUCUGUUGAGAUACAUAAUUAGCUCCCGAUACAUUCAACGAAAAUACAUAAUUAGUUGGGAUUUUGUAAUUGCUUUUUAAGGGUGGGGAUUUGUGUAAAUAUGGUAAGUUAAGGUGUAUGUUAUUUUUUCUAAAAAUGGGCACCAACAGAAAGGGUAUGCAUAUACAUCUAUUUACAUAUAUACAGAGAUCUUAAUGUUGCUGUUACAGAUGUUAGGCUAUGAUGAUUAUGGUGUCUAAGUAAGGGAGUUGUCUCGUACCUUGGCGGUGCGACCCGGAAGGCACUAUUACUAGUGCAACCGAGGUCUGCAACCAUGGCGGAUCAUUGUCUCCUUUGCCCUGAUUAUAUUGAUCUGAGCCUUAAAAAAUAGGGCAAACAACAUAAAUUCCGACAGUUUGGAGCUUAAUUACAGAAAAUCUCGACAUUUUGCAAAUCCCAAUUAGCUCCCGAUACAUUCAAUGAAAAUACAUAACUAGUUGGGAUUUUUUUAAUUGCUUUGGGUGGGGAUUUGUGUAAAUAUGGUAAGUUAAGGUGUAUGUUUAUGAGAUUUUUUCUAAAAAUGGGCACCCACACAAAGGGUAUACAUAUACAUCUCUUUACAUAUAUACAGAGAUCUUACUGUUGCUGUUACAGAUGAUAGGCUAUGAUGAUUAUGGUGUCUAAGUAAGGGAGCCGUCCCGUAGGCAACCUGGAAGGCACUAUUAGUAGUGCAACCGAGGUCUGCAGCCAUAGCGGAUGCAUAGGGACACUUGACAAUUACAGAAUUGGUCAGUUUUUUUUUCCUGCAAAUCUGAAUUCAGCAUAGGGACAACGGAUGUCAUUUUAAGCUAUUAUGUUAGACCCAACCCGGAGCACAACAACAUUGUAUCCUCAUUUAUGGAUGAUAUGAGAAUGGACCCUUAAAAAUCCAGUUGCUAGAUUUUAACAGCCGAAUGAGGCUGUGAUGAUUAAUUGUCUUGAGUUGGUUUGGCCGUUUGGGGCUGCCUGCAUCUUGGCAAUGCGACCAGGUAAGGCAUUUCCUUUGUUUAGCAUUUUCGCAGCAACUACACGACCUUCAGUCUGUGUCUCCGUCAUGGCUUUGAAAUUAUUAAAGAGGCAGUGAGGAUGAUUUUUCCCUAUUUCUGGCUAACUCAUGGAGAUCACCUACCCAUAUUAUGGUGUGGCGACCCGGUAUGGCCUGUGAUUGAGACGCACAUCUCACACAUGCAAUCGUGUGUUGCAGCCAUGGCGUGGUUGGCUUCUCUUUUGCCUAAUCAAUUUGCUUAAGAAAAUAGGGAAAAGAGUCAAAUUUACCCCUUUACUAUGGAUAAGGGGCAAUGUCUUUUCCAUUAAUCUGGGAGAUAUCGAACCAGCACCCUCUUGAUCUGCAGUUAUAAUGUGGGAGAUAUCAAACUAACGCCCUUUUCUGGGCUAACUAAUUCGGACAUGGAGAUUACCUAACCCGUAUCUUGGCAUGGAAACUCGGUAUGGCCUGUGCAAUAGACUCAUAUCUCACACAUGCAAUCGUGUGUUGCAGCGAUAGCACGGUUGGCUUUUCUUUUGCCUUAUCAUAACAUAAAUCUGAGCCUCAAUUUGCUAAAGAAAAUAGGGAAAGAGAUCAAAUUUACUUCUUUACUUUGCAUAAGGGGCGAUAUCUUUCCCAUGAUUAAUGUGGGAGAUAUUGAACCGACGCCCUUGUGACUAGCAAUUACAAUGAUUUUCACUCGCAAUGUAUUUCCAUGUUUUGGUAACUAACAGCUCAAGAAUGAGGCCAAGUCAGCAUCGAGGUGUAUUUUAUUACAAAGAAAGUGGUACUUUAGGUACGUAAAUGGUAUAAUAAAUAGUUAAGGUAUGAAAGUCGCAAAAAUGUGAUAGUUUAGAUGUGUUUUUUACCAUUAACUCUUUAUAAAAUAACCUAGGAAAAGGGAGUUUUUCUGCAACUCUAGACGGAAAGAAUGAGGCGGCGGAGAGGCAUUGGGGAGUCUUUAAUGGUGGUUGCCCUCUCUCUUUUCUUUCGCCGAUGAUUUCCUUUCUCGAUUUUUCACCCAAAGUCACUGCAUUAAAACCACCAUAAUUGAAAAUGGUCUAAGGUACAUAUAUUGUCCCUUAAACUCCUCCUCCUAUCUAGCUUUUAACUACCGGGUGAGGCUUUGAUGAUGACUAAUGAACUUUUCUUGAGUUUGAUCGGGCAUUUGGAGCUGCCCGUAUCUUGGCGGGGCGACUUGGUAAGGCAUCUCCUUUGUUUUGCAACCGAAGGUCUGAAGCCAUGGCGGUUGCUUGUCUCUUUUGCCCUGAUUUUAUCACAGAUCUGAGCCUCAAGAGAAAGACCCUUGAACCAUGGUGAAUCCUUUGUUGUGAGAUCUGUCCAAAAUGAGGCAGCAGUGUAAUGGGUUUUCUAUCAGGGGUGGUUGCCCUUCUCAAUGCUUUGCCUAUGAUUCUUCCAUUUUUUAAACAAACCAACAGCUCUUAGAAAGGGGAAAGAGAAAAAGUUAGCCCUUAAACUGUACACUACAGUUUCUGGGUUUUUCUUUUUCAGUCAUUUAGGUUCUGGACUCUGGUUUUCUUGAGCCGAGGUCUAUCGGAAACAACCUCUCUAGCUCCCACAAAGGACCAGGUAAGGUCUGAAAUGCAUCUGCUUCACCAUUGGUAGCUUUUAAUUACAGGAUGAGAGGCUGUGAUGAUUAAGCUAUCUAGAGUUCAUGGGGUAUGGGAGCUGGGUCCCUAUCUUGACGGGGCGACUCGGAAGGCCUAUUUUGUAGAGAAACCGAGGUCUGCAGCCAUGGUGGAUGCACUAUCUCCUUUGCCCUCAUUAUAUAUAUCUGAGCCUUAAAAACGGAAAUUUCUGCUUUAUGUAUAGUUAUACACAUACAUCUCUCUUCUGUAUGUGUGUGUGUAUAUAUAUAAAUAAUGUAAGGAAUAAGGGUUUAGGGUUUAAGAUUUGACCCUUUUGUUGCUACUUCUUUUUUUUCCACCUUAUUAUCAUCAUCUAUGACCAGCCUUGCAAAGGGUUUUGACAUGGUUGAUGUUGUUGUCAUUGUUGUUGCUGUAUGGAUGAGAGGCUGUGAUGAUUAAAGUGUCUUGAGUUCAUGGGGUAAAGGGGAGCAAGGCCCGUAUCUUGGCGGGGCCACCCGGAAAGUACUAUUCGUAGAGCAACCGAGUUCUUCAGCCAUGGUGGUUGCUUUGUCUCAUUUGCCCUGAUUUCAUCUCUUUUAGUUACCGGGUUAGCAGGAAAUUACGCCUAGUGUUCCCAAAGUGUCUGGUCAUGAAGUGUUGUACCCUAAAGUGUCCGGUCUUGAAUCAAGACCAUCCCCUAUGGAGACCAUUUUGGUAGUACUUUUCUUAUGGAGCACAAAAUAUCAGGACCAGCCCAUUUUAGGGCCAUUUCUUAACUUGACCCUCGGAUGAGGCUGUGAUGAUGACUAAUGAAGUUUAGAGUUGGGUUGGGGCAUUUGGAGCUGCCCGUAUCUUGGUGGGGCAACCCAGUAAAGCAUCUCCUUUGUUUUGCAACUGAAGGUCUGCAGCCAUGGCGGUUGCUUGGUCUCCUUUUGCCUGAUUUAUCUUACAAUCUGAGCCUCAAAAGAAGACCCUUCAGCAAAAAGCACCAUUUCCUUCUUGCAUGUAAUUACUGGCAAAUCCCUUUUUGUAAGAUUAGCUCAGAGGGAAAGAGGGUCUUUCGGGAACAGCCUCUCUACCUCCCCGAGGUAUUGGUAAGAUCUGCGUACGCUUUACCCUCCCUAGGCCUCACUUGUUGGAUUUCACUGGGUAUGUUGUUGUUGUAGCUCAGAAUGAGGCAGUAGAGGGAGUAAUGGGAUCCCAUCAAGGGUGGUUUCCCUUCUCUGUGCUUUGCUUAUGAUUCACCAAUUCUUAACAAACCAACAACCUUUAAAAAAGAGAAAGGGACAAAGAUGGAGUACUCUGCAGUUUCUGGGGUUUUGUUUUCCGUCAUUUAGGUUUUGGACUCUGAUUUUCUUGAGUCAAGGUCUAUUGGAAACAACCUUUCUGGUCCCCACAGAUGACCGGGUUAGGUCUGUGUGCAUGUACUGCCCCUUAAACUGCUCUGCUUCUUUCGGUGACAGCCUCUCUAUCUCUAUGAGGUUGGGUUAAGGUCUGCGUACACUAUAUCAAGUAUAAACUCUACCUCUGUCUGCGUACUCUAUAAACUCUACCUCCCAGGACCCCACUUGUGGGAUUACACGGGGUAUGUUUUUGUAAACUGCUUCUGCUUCUUCACCAUUGCUAGCUUUUAAUUACAUGAUGAGGCUGUGAUGAUGACAAAUGAAGUUCUAGAGUUGGUCGGGUAUUGGAGCUUCCCGUAUCUUGGCGGGGGAAUCCGGUAAGGCAUCUCGUUUUGCAACCGAGGUCUGCAGCCGUGGUGGUUUGUUUGUCUCCUUUUGCCUGAUUUUCUCUCACGGAUCUGAGCCUCAAGACCAAAGAAUUGGGUGGGAAGAACCUUCAUAGGCAGUUGGCCAUAUUUCUUUGUGAAAAUAGAUAAAAAAUUGUUUUUGUUUUAAAAGUGGAAAAUGAUAUUCUGAUGUUGGAGUUGUGUUUGGCCACAUAAUAAAUUGGAGUUGUUUUGGAAUUUUUUUGUGUAAUUUGGAGUGAAAAAAUUGAAAACAACUUUUUGUUGUUUUUUGGAAUUUUUGAAAAUUCUUGAUAAAUGUAAACACAGUUUUUUUUUGGAAUUUUAUGGCCAAAUGAACCCCCAAGUUUUGUAAGUUUCCUUUUGUUAGAUUAGCCCAGAAAUGGCAAGAAUGAGGCAGCAGAGAGGGUAUGGGAUUUCUUUCAAAGGUGAUUGCCCUUCUCUCUGCUUUGCCUGUGAUUCUCUAUCUUCUAUAAACCAACAGCCCUUUAAAAGAAGAGACACAGUACAUUUGAGUUUCUGGUUUUCUUUGCAUUUUUGCACCCUCAAAUGUAUGCUCAAAACGCAAUACACACAACGACAACUACAUGACCUUCUAAUUUCCGAUCUGUGUCUCCAUCAUGGCUUUGAAAAUUAUUAAAGUGGCAGUAAUGAUGGUUUUUUCUCUAUUUCUGGGCCAACUGAUUUGGGCAUGGAGAUAACCAACCCGUAUUUUGGUUUGGCAACCCUGUAUGGCCAGUGAUUGAGGAGCAUUCUCACACAUGCAAUCGUGUAUUGCAGCAAUGGCGUGGUUGGCUUCUCUUUUGCCUUAUCAUAACAUAAAUCUGAGCCUCAAUUUGCUCAAGAAAACAGGGGAAAGGGUAAAUUUACCCCUUUAUAUGCAUAAGGGGCAAUAUCUUUUCCAUGAUUAAUAUGGGAGAUAUUGAACCAACGCCCUUCUGAUCUGCAGUUUCAAUGCUUUUCACUCAUAAUGUAUCACCAUCGUAUUUUUUUGGCAAGUAGAAUGAGGCAUUUUAAUGAAAUGUUGGAUUUCUAUGAACUUGUCUGAAGUUUCUUGUUCGAGGUGUUUCAUUGAUGUUUGAAUAGAUUAGUUUAUAAUAUUACCUUGUGGGUGUCUUGUUUCCUUUAUUAUCUAGCAUUGUGUUAUACCAUUUUUUGUGUGCUUUUUAUGUUUUUUUGUUUGUUAUACUAUUAUCUAUCCUAAGCCGGGGGUCUAUCGGAAACAACCUCUCUAAGUCAUCUGGGGUAGUGGUGGGGUAGUGGUAUGGACUGCAUACACUUUACCCUCCCCAGACCCCACUUUAUGGGAAUACACUGGGUAUGUUGUUGUUGUUGGAUUUCUAUGAACUCUAAGCGAAAAGAAUGAGGCAACAGAGAAGCAUUGGGGAGUCUUUAAUGGUGGUUUCCCUCUCUCUGUUCUUUCACCUGCACUAAAACCACCAUACUUGAAUAUGGUCUAAUCACAUUUGAUGCCCCUUAAAACUAUGAGCGUGUUUGGAUUGGCUUAUUUGACGUGCUUUUAAGAAUACUACUACUACUAAUUUUUCACCUCUUCCUCUUCAUCAAUGAGGCUGUGAUGAUGACAAAUGAAGUUGUCUGGAGUUGGAUUGGGUAUUGGAGCUGUUCGUAUCUUGGCAGGUGACCUGAUAAGGCAUUCGAAUUGUUUUGCAACUGAAGGUCUGCAGCCAUGGCGGUUGCUUUGUCUCCUUUUUACCUGAUUUUAUCCACAAAUCUGAGCCUUAAGAGAAAGACCCUUGAGCCAUGGUGAAUCCCUUUUUGUUAGAUUUGCCAAGAAUGAGGCAGCAGAGGGAGUAAUGGGAUUUCUAUCAAAGGUGGUUGCCCUUCUCUCUGCUUUGCCUAUGAUUCUUCCAUUCUUUAACAAAACAAACAGCCCUUAGCAAAGAGAAAAGAGGCCAAGAUGUUGCCCGUAAACUGUACACUACAGUUUCUGGGCUUUUUUCAGGUCAUUUAGGUUCCGGACUCAAUGGUGAUCUACAGGAAACAGCCUCUUUACCCCUACAGGUAACUGAUCUUACCUUCCAUAUGUUGUUGUUGAAACACCUUCUGCUUCUUCACUUGUUGACACCUUCCUCUUCACCUUUGCUAGCUUUUAAUUACUGGAUAAGUCUGUGAUGAUGACAAAUGAAGUUGUCUGGAGUUGGGUCGGGCAUUAGAGCUACCUGUAUCUUGGCGGGGCAAUCUGGUAAGGAAUCUGCAACCGAGGUCUGCAGCCUCAAGAGGACCUUUCAGAAAGAGAAGCCCUAUUUCCUUUUUGCGAGCAAUUACUGGUGAAUCCCUUUUUGUUAGAUUAGCUCAGAAUGAGGUAGCAGAGAGAGUAAUGGGAUUUCUAUCAAGGGUGGUUGCCCUGCUCUAUGCUUUGCCUGUGAUUCACCAUUUUUUAAACAAACCAACAGCCCUUAGCAAAGAGAAAAAAAAGAUGAUUGUUUACUGGAAAAAUGGUACAUUUAAAUUUGUAUUAGGUCAAGGACACGCAUUAUUAAUUUAGCUCGUUAAAUAUGAUUAUCUGCAGCCAUGGCAGUUGCUUUUUCUCCUUUUAGCUGAUUUGUCACAGAUCUGAGCCUCAAUAGAAAGAAUUGGGUGAGAAGACCCUUCAAAAGUCCAGCAAAUUAUUGUUUGUUGGGUUAGCCCAGAAAUGGCGAGAAUGAGGCAGCAUAGAGAGUAUGGGAUAUCUUUCAUGGGCGGUUUCCCUUCUCUCUGCUUUGCCUAUGAUUCUCCAUUUUUAACAAACCAACAGCCCUUAAAAAAGAAAGAGAGAGAGUGCAUUUGAGUUUCUGGGUUUCGUAGCACGUUUGCACCUUUGAUGUAUACUCAAUGCAGUAUACAACUAUACUACAACAGUUACACGACCUUCAGAUAUUCAGUGUGUCUCCGUCAUGGCUAUGAAUAUGAUUAAAAGAGGCAGUGAUGAUUUUUUUCUCUAUUUCUGGGCUAACUAAUUCAGGCAUGGAGAUUUCCCAACCCGUAUCUUGGCGUGCCAACCCGGUAUGGCCUGUGAUGGAGACCCAUAUCUCACCCAUGCAAUCGUGUGUUGCAGCCAUGGCGUGGUUGGCUUCUCUUUUGCCUUACCAUGACACAAAUCUGAGCCUCAAUUUGCCAUAUCUGUGUAUUUGGCCUAUCUAAAGUAAUAAUACAAUAAAAUACAAUUGGUAACAACCAUCCAAGCAAGUUGUUAUUGGUUCGUUUGGUUGAGAGACAAGUUAUGCCAGCAUAAUUGACGGUUUGAAAGAGGCAAUGAUGAUUUUAUCAA